CGGAUAAAAGGUACUCCGGGGAUAACAGGCUGAUACCGCCCAAGAGUUCACAUCGACGGCGGUGUUUGGCACCUCGAUGUCGGCUCAUCACAUCCUGGGGCUGAAGCCGGUCCCAAGGGUAUGGCUGUUCGCCAUUUAAAGUGGUACGCGAGCUGGGUUUAGAACGUCGUGAGACAGUUCGGUCCCUAUCUGCCGUGGGCGUUUGAGAAUUGAGAGGAGCUGCUCCUAGUACGAGAGGACCGGAGUGGACGAACCUCUGGUGUUCCGGUUGUUACGCCAGUAGCAUCGCCGGGUAGCUAAGUUCGGAAAGGAUAACCGCUGAAAGCAUCUAAGCGGGAAGCCUACCUCGAGAUGAGUUCUCACUAAAUCUGCGAGAUUUACGAAGGGCCCUCGUAGACUACGAGGUUGAUAGGCGGGGUGUGGAAGCGUUGUAAGGCGUUAAGCUAACCCGUACUAAUUGCCCGAGCGGCUUGACCAU
rnacentral:rRNA from 1 species